rnacentral:ncRNA from 1 species
GAUUUAUUCUACUCAUGCAAUCAGUGGAUGCCUUGGCAGUAAAAACCGAAGAAGGACGUUUCAAGUCUGCGAAAGUUAUCGGGGAGGUGACAAGAACUUAUGAUCCGGUAGUGUCCGAAUGGGGAAACCUAGUCCCGUUUACGGGACUGUUACACUUUUUAUUAAGUGUUUCGGGAACUUGGGGAACUGAAAUAUCUAAGUACCCAAAGGAAAAGAAAUCGAAUGAGAGCCCCUUAGUAAGCGACGAGCGAACAGGGGUGAGUC